GGUGUAGCGGAGAAAUGAGUAGUGAUUUGGAGGAAUACCGGUGGCGAAAGGCGGCCCCCCUGGACAAAAGACUGACGCUCCGGUGCGAAAGCGUGGGGGAGCAAACAGGAUUAGAUACCCUGGUAGUCCACGCCGUAAAACGAUGUCGAUUUGGAGGUUGUGCCCUUGAGGCGUGGCUUCCGGAGCUAACGCGUUAAAUCGACCGCCUGGGGAGUACGGCCGCAAGGUUAAAACUCAAAUGAAUUGACGGGGGCCCGCACAAGCGGUGGAGCAUGUGGUUUAAUUCGAUGCAACGCGAAGAACCUUACCUGGUCUUGACAUCCACAGAACUUAGCAGAGAUGCUUUGGUGCCUUCGGGAACUGUGAGACAGGUGCUGCAUGGCUGUCGUCAGCUCGUGUUGUGAAAUGUUGGGUUAAGUCCCGCAACGAGCGCAACCCUUAUCCUUUGUUGCCAGCGGUUAGGCCGGGAACUCAAAGGAGACUGCCAGUGAUAAACUGGAGGAAGGUGGGGAUGACGUCAAGUCAUCAUGGCCCUUACGACCAGGGCUACACACGUGCUACAAUGGCAUAUACAAAGAGAAGCGACCUCGCGAGAGCAAGCGGACCUCAUAAAGUAUGUCGUAGUCCGGAUUGGAGUCUGCAACUCGACUCCAUGAAGUCGGAAUCGCUAGUAAUCGUAGAUCAGAAUGCUACGGUGAAUACGUUCCCGGGCCUUGUACACACCGCCCGUCACACCAUGGGAGUGGGUUGCAAAAGAAGUAGGUAGCUUAACCUUCGGGAGGGCGCUACCA
rnacentral:rRNA from 1 species